rnacentral:misc_RNA from 1 species
GCCUCUUGUCGACAUGGGGGCCCAUCUCGCUCAAUCCCCUCUCGCCGUCGCCUCCAAUUCCGACGUCGUCUUCUCCAUCGUCGGGUUUCCCUCUGACGUCCGUCACGUCCUCCUCGACCCCACCACUGGGGCCCUCCAAGGCCUUCGCCCUGGUGGAGAUCUCGUUGACAUGCCUACAUCUGACCCUUCCCUGGCCUCCGAG